rnacentral:rRNA from 1 species
GGUUAAGCGACUAAGCGUACACGGUGGAUGCCCUGGCAGUCAGAGGCGAUGAAGGACGUGCUAAUCUGCGAUAAGCGUCGGUAAGGUGAUAUGAACCGUUAUAACCGGCGAUUUCCGAAUGGGGAAACCCAGUGUGAUUCGUCACACUAUCAUUAACUGAAUCCAUAGGUUAAUGAGGCGAACCGGGGGAACUGAAACAUCUAAGUACCCCGAGGAAAAGAAAUCAACCGAGAUUCCCCCAGUAGCGGCGAGCGAACGGGGAGUAGCCCAGAGCCUGAAUCAGU